rnacentral:rRNA from 1 species
UACAGAGGUCCCAAGCGUUGUUCGGAUUUACUGGGCGUAAAGGGUGCGUAGGCGGUCCGGUAAGUCCGCUGUGAAAGUCGGGGGCUCAACCCUCGAAUGCCGGUGGAUACUGUCGGGCUAGAGUGCGGAAGAGGCGAGUGGAAUUCCUGGUGUAGCGGUGAAAUGCGCAGAUAUCAGGAGGAACACCAAUAGCGAAGGCAGCUCGCUGGGACGUUACUGACACUGAGGCGCGAAAGCGUGGGGAGCGAACAGG